rnacentral:rRNA from 3 species
UUUCGGGUCACGUACAUCCGAGGGUCG